GGUCGCAAAAGCAUUAUAAACUGGAGACUCCGGCUACACUGUCUUUCUUUUAAUAUAUCAGCAUUAGUGCCGUCAGGAAUGAGGAAUAUCGAGAUAACACUACAAGAAAAUGAUUAUUUUGUCAUGGUUUUAUACCGUAGCUGUAACGGUUUUGACUGUUACUAUCAAUGACUGGUCACAAAUAUACAAUACGUGAUUAAAUCGUCCGAUGCUAAGGUGGAUGGCCACAGAUCCCUACAUUCGUGAUAAACAGGUCAUGCUUCCUUAAAAACGAUGAUAAGCUGAAUUGGUCACGUUUGAAUUUAAACCGUGAUGAGCUUUUCUGUUCUUUAAAAAAAAAAUUAAUUGCACUGCCCAUAUUGAUUAAAUUAUUAUUUUUUGUCAAGUUGUUUCUCGUGAUGCUAGACUUUUUUGGCAAGCUUGACGCCAGAGUAAAUUCCAACAUUUUGCCAGAGUGAAACCAAGAUCCAAAAAUUAGCCAAACCCAGAUCUACCGAAUCUGAGACAAGGAAAUGGGAUGAACAAAUAAAUUAGCAUAGAGGGGAUGUAACCCAUAAAACAAAAACCCAGAUCUGGAAAAUACGAGACAACGAAACCCGGCGGGAAAAUGAAGUGAUUUGGAAGGAGCAGCGUGAUCUACGGUGGGAGAACGAGACAAUCUAUAUUUGGCAGGAGCAGACUGAACUUCGACUGCUCUGGCUUUUAUGGCUAAGGACAGAAGAGAGU
rnacentral:lncRNA from 1 species